rnacentral:lncRNA from 1 species
AGGUGAGGCUGGUCAGGGUUAAGGGUGUUGGAAGCAACAGUUGUAAGGGCCUCAGAAGGUGGGGCCUGGUGACACCUACCAUAGCAGGAAAGUCACUUGAUUUGUGCGGCAGGAUUAGAAUUCCUUCAAUUCCAGCUCCGGCACCGUGCUGAGAAUAGAUGCUUGCCUUGGGGUACCUCCCCUCAAGGCCAGACAGCCAACCUGAGAGUCUUGGGGAAGCUAGAGAGACCAACAAUCAUGGAAACCCCACCCAAGACCCCACCCAGGGCUAACCCUGGCUUCCCACCAGCCUGCUGCCUGCUCUGGGCCACUUGAGGAUAUCUAUGCUCCACUUUGCCGCUUACAUUCCAUUAAAAACAUCUGCUAAACAAUAAAGCCCGCAGCUUAACAAAGUA